rnacentral:rRNA from 1 species
UGGGGAAUAUUGCACAAUGGGCGAAAGCCUGAUGCAGCGACGCCGCGUGAGGGAUGACGGCCUUCGGGUUGUAAACCUCUUUCAGCAGGGACGAAGCGCAAGUGACGGUACCUGCAGAAGAAGCACCGGCUAACUACGUGCCAGCAGCCGCGGUAAUACGUAGGGUGCAAGCGUUGUCCGGAAUUACUGGGCGUAAAGAGUUCGUAGGCGGUUUGUCGCGUCGUUUGUGAAAACCAGCAGCUCAACUGCUGGCUUGCAGGCGAUACGGGCAGCCUUGAGUACUGCAGGGGAGACUGGAAUUCCUGGUGUAGCGGUGAAAUGCGCAGAUAUCAGGAGGAACACCGGUGGCGAAGGCGGGUCUCUGGGCAGUAACUGACGCUGAGGAACGAAAGCGUGGGUAGCGAACAGG